rnacentral:rRNA from 1 species
GACGAACGCUGGCGGCGUGCCUAACACAUGCAAGUCGAGCGAUGAAGCCCUUCGGGGUGGAUUAGCGGCGGACGGGUGAGUAACACGUGGGUAACCUGCCUCAAAGAGGGGGAUAGCCUCCCGAAAGGGAGAUUAAUACCGCAUAAUAUCAUGUUUUCGCAUGAAGAUAUGAUUAAAGGAGCAAUCCGCUUUGAGAUGGACCCGCGGCGCAUUAGCUAGUUGGUGAGGUAACGGCUAACCAAGGCCACGAUGCGUAGCCGACCUGAGAGGGUGAUCGGCCACAUUGGAACUGAGACACGGUCCAGACUCCUACGGGAGGCAGCAGUGGGGAAUAUUGCACAAUGGGCGAAAGCCUGAUGCAGCAACGCCGCGUGAGUGAUGACGGCCUUCGGGUUGUAAAACUCUGUCUUUGGGGACGAUAAUGACGGUACCCAAGGUGGAAGCCACGGCUAACUACGUGCCAGCAGCCGCCGUAA